GAAUGAGAUACUGCUGCCUGAACAGCUGGAGACAGUCACCUCACUCUCCCUGAUGGGUAAAGACUGUUCCUGCUGCUCUAGGCUUCAGCUCUGAAGGAAUGAGAGGGUGAGGGAAGAGGAGAGAGAGAAGUGAAGUUAGAAUAGACUCAAAUCCUGAAAUCAGCAAGUUGAUUUACUUAAAUCCUAAGCUUAGCGGGGAACAAUGAACACUGAUUGAGCAAGAUGGAACCAGAGGCUGGAUUUCUGAAUAAGAGGUUUCAUGUUUGCAACCAAUGUAUCUGGUGGUGAGUAAUGAUGACUUUACUGGGAACAGCCAACAUUAAAGUGACUUUUUAAGUUCCAAUUAGUUCAAUGAAGAGUUGAACACAUCAUUAACAUUCUCUUGUUGAAACCAAUGGAGCUUACAUGUGCUUAACUUUGACCAGACUGUGCCCAAUGUCAUUGCGACUCUCAAAUAAUUCACUAUCAAGUUCUAAGAUGAGCAAUUAUCACGCUGAGGAGAAAGCAGUAAUUUAUAUUGAUAGCUACUGCACUUGAAUAUAUGUAAUUAAGUCCCUGAUUAGCUUGGACAUGU